UUUAUCUUGGCAUACACUGUAAUGAAUUGCUGUAAAAAUUACAGCAAUAUUUUACAGCCGAUGGCUGUAUUUUAAUAAUACAGCAUAUUGCUGUAAAUUGCAAUGAAUUCCGGGGGCGUGGCGGUUUGAAUCAAAUUUACAGAAUAUUGCUGUAAAUUUCAAAUAUACAGAGGCAUUGUGGGAUCUCCAACGGUCAAGAUUCGAGUAGCAGCAAGAGGAGUGAUUUACAACUGUGGUAUUUAUCUGGAGAGAGGAACAAAGACGAAAGGAAAAGUGCCAUCUAAAACAACAGGCAGACUGUUCAGAAGAAACGGGUUGCGUUCAACCUACAUGUGGACACUCUUCUGUGCAAAGUGAUAGAUUUUCAGUGGAAUUUCUGAAAUCCUAUCUUUGAAUCCUGGGAUGGAACAUCAUCUGGAGCAGAAUUGUUCUUUUUUGAUCGCAAGUUUGUUGGACUUGUUGUUUGGCCAUGUUGGUAUGUUCAUGAAGUGAUAAAAGUGAUGUGGGUUUUAAGAAAUGUUUUUAUAUGACCCUGUUGGUCAAGUUAUAGUUAUAAUUGUAUUUCUUUGUGUGAAGGGCCAUGAUGGCCAAUAAGUAAUUUAAAAACAUUUUCAUGACAAAAUUUUGUCCCUUUAAAAAAUAAAAUGAUUUUCUAAAUAAAAAAUAAAUUCAAAAUAA